CCUACGGGAGGCAGCAGUGAGGAAUAUUGGUCAAUGGCCGCAGGGCUGAACCAGCCAAGUCGCGUGAGGGAUGACGGUCCUAUGGAUUGUAAACCUCUUUUGUCAGGGAGCAAAGGGCGCCACGUGUGGCGCUUUGCGAGUACCUGAAGAAAAAGCAUCGGCUAACUCCGUGCCAGCAGCCGCGGUAAUACGGAGGAUGCGAGCGUUAUCCGGAUUUAUUGGGUUUAAAGGGUGCGCAGGCGGAAUGUCAAGUCAGCGGUAAAAUUUCGGUGCUCAACCCCGUAGUGCCGUUGAAACUGGCGUUCUUGAGUGAGCGAGAAGUAUGCGGAAUGCGUGGUGUAGCGGUGAAAUGCAUAGAUAUCACGCAGAACUCCGAUUGCGAAGGCAGCAUACCGGCGCCCGACUGACGCUCAGGCACGAAAGCGUGGGUAUCGAACAGGAUUAGAUACCCGAGUAGUC
rnacentral:rRNA from 1 species